UUUCUUGGUUUAUUGCCAUAUGAAGCCCAAAAUGGCCAGGUGUCAAUCUCAACCUCCAGUGUACUAAGAUGUAAUUGUGUUUCCUUGGGAAGCAUUCCUAACUAAGAUCUUCAGACCUGAAGCAUUUGUAAAUUGCUGGCAUUGGAAGCAAAAAUAGUUUAAGGAACAAUUCCACUUUUACCAUCAAUUCCUGGUCCAGGGCAUUUUGUCUGUGGGAAACAGUACCAUGUGAAACUCUGAUUCAAAGCAUAUAACCUGUUCUGUGAGAUGGAAUCCCUUCUGUUAGAGUAGUCUCUUCCAUUUGGCCCUGUAAGUGAAUGUUCAAUAAGCCAUUCUACCUUUCAUUCAGAUAAACUAUUUAUGAGUGACAGUGUAUGAUAAAACCACUUGAUGGCAUGAACAUGGCAGUGAAAAGAGUUUUUUGAUGAGAAAGAAGGCUGUGAGUGCCAUGGUUAUAGGUAAAGCAUUUGAGUGUGCAGGUGGGUUCUAGCAGAAAUAUAACCAGUAGAAAAGCAGAGCCACAUCUAGAACUUUAUUCUGGUGAGGAAGAAUCUUGUUCCUAUGGCAAUGAAUAAUUCUCUGGUAUAUCCCUUGUUGAUGUUGCUCUUUACGCUCCCACCCAUGGGUUAUGGCAGAUCGCAUACAUGGUGACCAGGUUGGUGACUCACUGUAAAAAUUUAAAAAAAAAAGUGAAUUUGGAGGGAAAGAGCACUUGGAUCUCUCUCCACUUGAAGAUGUUUCUGAAAUCAUGUGAGGUA
rnacentral:lncRNA from 1 species